UUGUAAGUGUGUAAGGGCGUUCGGUGGAUGCCUUGGUACCAGGAGCCGAUGAAGGACGUGGUAGGCCGCGAUAGUCCUCGGGGAGUUGUCAAACGAGCUGUGAUCCGAGGGUGUCCGAAUGGGGAAACCCAGCACGAGUGAUGUCGUGUUACCACCAGCUGAAUGUAUAGGCUGUGUGGGGGGAACGUGGGGAAGUGAAACAUCUCAGUACCCAUAGGAAGAGAAAACAAUUGUGAUUCCGUGAGUAGUGGCGAGCGAAAGCGGAGGAGGCUAAACCAUGCGCAUGUGAUACCGGGUAGGGGUUGUGUGUGUGGGGUUGUGGGGUUCGUCUUCUUCCAUCUGCCUGUGGAAGCGUGAGUGAGAAAACUGUGUGUUAGGUGAAGUGGCCUGGAAUGGUCUGCCGUAGUCGGUGAGAGUCCGGUAGCUGAAAACACAUGGUCUUGCGUGACGGUGUCCCCAAGUAGCAGCGGGCUCGUGGAAUCUGCUGUGAAUCUGCCGGGACCACCCGGUAAGCCUGAAUACUUCCUGGUGACCGAUAGCGGACUAGUACCGUGAGGGAAAGGUGAAAAGUACCCCGGGAGGGGAGUGAAAUAGUACCUGAAACCGGACGCUUACAAUCCGUCAAAGCCUGUGCCUUCGGGGCGGGUGAUGGCGUGCCUUUUGAAGAAUGAGCCUGCGAGUUAGUGCUCGGUGGCGAGGUUAACCCGUGUGGGGUAGCCGUAGCGAAAGCGAGUCUGAAUAGGGCGA
rnacentral:rRNA from 1 species